ensembl:misc_RNA Gm24550 predicted gene, 24550
AGAUAUAAAAGCAACCUGGCUAUGACAUCUGUCACUCUGGGUUGAUUAGACUGGUCUGGCUGGCUAAGCAGUGCCUCCUCUCUCUCUCAUUGUUCCCUUGAUAUCCCUUCUGAAAGGACAUACUUGGUCAGUGAAGCAGGCCUCCUCCCCCAAUAGAUGAGGGUCAUUCUUCAAUCAAGAGCAUAGAAGAAGCUACUUCCCGCUAGACCCCUGAGCAGCUCUCAAGAACGUCCCAUGAAGGAUCUUCUGAUUCUAAUUCAGAUAUGACCCCCACCCCACCUCACCCCACCCCACCU